rnacentral:rRNA from 1 species
GUCUAUGGUCAUGCCACCCUGAACAAGCCCGAUCCCGUCUGAUCUUGGAAGCUACUAAGCAGGGUCAGGCCUGGUAGUACUUGGAUGGGAGACCACCUAGGAAGAUCAGGUGCUAUAGGCG